UUUUGCACAAAAUGUCAUUCGGGUUUUGGCGAGCUUUGCUUGCAGCCACAGGUCUACGUGACGUAUGGAGAAUACACAACACUUUAUAGCGCUGAUUCAUGCCGAUCCCCAGUCGCAUCCAAAUCUAAAGCAGAUGGAGAUACAGAUAAAGAAGUGCCAAAAAAUCACGAGUGACGCUAGAUCAGGGGAUUACCUAAGGAAUAUCGAACGAAUAUCUUGAACGGGAUGGCUCUUAGAGGUUUUGGAGCAAGGGAAAAAUACCCAAGGAGAAAGAAUUUAGUGGAAAAUCUACGCAUACCAAAGUUAAAUUAAAUUAAACAGAUUUCAAUCAUCCGAAACAUGA